rnacentral:misc_RNA from 1 species
GUGCAACAAUGCGUCAUCAUGCCUAGCUCGCAUAAACACUCGAUUAGGCUCAUCCAAACAAAUGGUGAAGACGCUUUCCUUUUCUGGGAUUUUAAGCAACAAGCAACAAUUUAGUCCAGACUUCUAUAACUGGAACAAGGUCAAGGUUCGAUAUUGUGAUGGUUCAUCAUUUACAGGAGAUGUAGAAAAUGUAGAUCCCGCUACUAAUCUUCAUUAUCGGGGAGCAAGGGUAUGGCUUGCCAUAAUGGAAGAUCUACUUGCGAAAGGAAUGAACAAAGCUGAAAAUGUUCUUCUUUCCGGCUGCUCGGCUGGUGGAUUGACAGUCAUACUACAUUGCGACAA